AGAGUUUGAUCCUGGCUCAGGACGAACGCUGGCGGCGUGCUUAACACAUGCAAGUCGAGCGGUAAGGCCCUUCGGGGUACACGAGCGGCGAACGGGUGAGUAACACGUGAGCAAUCUGCCCAUCACUUCGGGAUAACUCCGGGAAACCGGAGCUAAUACCGGAUAUGACCACUUCAGGCAUCUGAUGGUGGUGGAAAGUUCCGGCGGUGAUGGAUGAGCUCGCGGCCUAUCAGCUUGUUGGUGGGGUAACGGCCCACCAAGGCUUCGACGGGUAGCCGGCCUGAGAGGGUGACCGGCCACACUGGGACUGAGACACGGCCCAGACUCCUACGGGAGGCAGCAGUGGGGAAUAUUGGACAAUGGGCGAAAGCCUGAUCCAGCAACGCCGCGUGAGGGAUGACGGCCUUCGGGUUGUAAACCUCUUUCAGCAGGGACGAAGCGCAAGUGACGGUACCUGCAGAAGAAGCACCGGCCAACUACGUGCCAGCAGCCGCGGUAAUACGUAGGGUGCGAGCGUUGUCCGGAAUUAUUGGGCGUAAAGGGCUCGUAGGCGGUUUGUCGCGUCGGGAGUGAAAACUCAGGGCUUAACCCUGAGCCUGCUUCCGAUACGGGCAGACUAGAGGUAUGCAGGGGAGAACGGAAUUCCUGGUGUAGCGGUGAAAUGCGCAGAUAUCAGGAGGAACACCGGUGGCGAAGGCGGUUCUCUGGGCAUUACCUGACGCUGAGGAGCGAAAGUGUGGGGAGCGAACAGGAUUAGAUACCCUGGUAGUCCACACCGUAAACGUUGGGCGCUAGGUGUGGGACUCAUUCCACGAGUUCCGUGCCGCAGCUAACGCAUUAAGCGCCCCGCCUGGGGAGUACGGCCGCAAGGCUAAAACUUAAAGGAAUUGACGG
rnacentral:rRNA from 1 species